rnacentral:tRNA from 1 species
AGCGAGAUGGUGUAAAGGUUAACACAACAGUCUCAUGAGCUGUAAUUUAAGAUUCAAUUUCUUAUCUCGCUU